rnacentral:snoRNA from 1 species
ACGACCUUACUUGAACAGGAUCUGUUCUAUAGGCUUGUACCGCUGCAUCCUUUACCAAUAAGGAGGUAAGCACUUCAGUCUGGUUGAUGCAUUCUGACCACUGGGGCAGAGCCUGAUUAACGGCCAGGAUUCUCCUGAUGGCUGUAGAGGAUCGUUCCUGGAUUGGCUUCUGUCUCUACAGGUUGGCUGACAGACA